AAACCCGUGAGAAUGCCCUCAAUCCCCCACCCGGGGACGAGGAGCAGGCAUCAGGCACAAACUUUAGCCCAAGACGCCUUGCCAUGCCACACCCCCAAGGGAAUUCAGCAGUGAUAGAUAUUAAGCCAUAAGUGAAAGCUUGACUUAGUCAGGGAUAAGAGGGCCGGUAAAACUCGUGCCAGCCACCGCGGUUAUACGAGAGGCCCUAGUUGAUGGACACGGCGUAAAGGGUGGUUAAGGUCCAAUACAAAUAAAGCCAAAAGACCUCUUGGCUGUCAUACGCCCCUGAGUUUCCGAAGCCCACGUACGAAAGUAGCUUUAAUAUUAUUCACCUGACCCCACGAAAGCUGAGAAACAAACUGGGAUUAGAUACCCCACUAUGCUCAGCCGUAAACUUAGGCGUUAUUUUACAAUAAACGCCCGCCAGGGUACUACGAGCAUUAGCUUAAAACCCAAAGGACUUGGCGGUGCCUUAGACCCCCCUAGAGGAGCCUGUUCUAGAACCGAUAACCCCCGUUAAACCUCACCACUUCUGGCCAUCCCC
rnacentral:rRNA from 1 species